CUCAGGAUGAACGCUGGCGGCGUGCCUAAUACAUGCAAGUCGAGCGAACUGAUUAGAAGCUUGCUUCUAUGACGUUAGCGGCGGACGGGUGAGUAACACGUGGGCAACCUGCCUGUAAGACUGGGAUAACUCCGGGAAACCGGAGCUAAUACCGGAUAACAUUUUCUCUUGCAUAAGAGAAAAUUGAAAGAUGGUUUCGGCUAUCACUUACAGAUGGGCCCGCGGUGCAUUAGCUAGUUGGUGAGGUAACGGCUCACCAAGGCAACGAUGCAUAGCCGACCUGAGAGGGUGAUCGGCCACACUGGGACUGAGACACGGCCCAGACUCCUACGGGAGGCAGCAGUAGGGAAUCUUCCGCAAUGGACGAAAGUCUGACGGAGCAACGCCGCGUGAGUGAUGAAGGCUUUCGGGUCGUAAAACUCUGUUGUUAGGGAAGAACAAGUACAAGAGUAACUGCUUGUACCUUGACGGUACCUAACCAGAAAGCCACGGCUAACUACGUGCCAGCAGCCGCGGUAAUACGUAGGUGGCAAGCGUUAUCCGGAAUUAUUGGGCGUAAAGCGCGCGCAGGCGGUUUCUUAAGUCUGAUGUGAAAGCCCACGGCUCAACCGUGGAGGGUCAUUGGAAACUGGGGAACUUGAGUGCAGAAGAGAAAAGCGGAAUUCCACGUGUAGCGGUGAAAUGCGUAGAGAUGUGGAGGAACACCAGUGGCGAAGGCGGCUUUUUGGUCUGUAACUGACGCUGA
rnacentral:rRNA from 2 species